GCCGGGCCGGGCCGGGCCGCGGCACCUGCGGGCGGCAGCCCCCGGCACCGGGCACCCCAAAAAGGGCCCAAAUUCCCCAAGGCUGAGAUGAUGGGUUUUGGUGGUUUUGGUUUUUUUCUCCUGAAGCAAAAGGGUCCCUGGCAGCGGAUUGAGAGCGAGAGCAAGGUGCAACACCUCCACAGCCCGGUGAGGUUUGCAGGGACCGGGCACAAAAGAACACAUGACUACUAAUUCCUUUAGUUCAUAUGGAUGGCAUAGACCUUUUCCCUGGGAGUGUGGAAGUCUUACUGGUCUGGGCAUCAAAUCUGAAAGAGCAAAAUAAGCCAGUGGUCGAGGAUAAUCACGGAAGGAUUAUCCAUCUGUUCUUGCCAUGUGGCACUCUGUCUUCAGUAAGGAGAUACUGCAGUUCACAGCUUCCUGCAGGAACAAGUUCCUAUCUUGGCAAGACAAAAAGGAAGGUUCUUGAAGCUAUAUGGAGACUGAGGAGCCAGAGGAGAAUUCUCGUGAGCAGCACAUCUUUGGACUCCACCGUGCUGGCUCCUGACUUACAGCAAAGCAAGUGACCCAGAGCAGUCAGUGGCUUGUACCAUACCUACCUUGGGAUCUGGCUGCAGGGACACCAGCUCUUAACUUCACAUUAGCCUAACAUUUCUAACCCUUCCUUUUGCAAAACACUGCUGCCUGUCCUUAGUGUCCUGACUUUUGGACAUUCCCCUAAAAGCAGUAUUGUGGCAAGCUCUGAGCCUUCAGUAUUUUUGAAUUGCAUGUCCAACUUAUUUUUCUUAUGUUCUCCAAGGCUUGCUAGUACUUGCCACCAUUCCCUGGUAUAGAUAAUUGUACUGAAAACAUUUACAGGAACACUCCUACAGUUCUUCAAGCAAAUUUGUCUGACAUAGCUCAGACUAUCCAUUUAUAAACUUAAAACUUGCCCAGCUGUCUCUGUCAGAAGCCUAUUAGGCAGCACUCUCACAAACUGCUCUCCUCCAGAGCAGUAAAGACUAUUUGAGAAUGGUGAACUUGUCCUCUGACACAGCUGGACUGGAAAGGAAGUGGAAAUGAGUGAAAAGAGUAACCCCCCUCUCUGGGUUCUAAGUAGUUGUGCAAAAGGGCUAAAAAGCUACUUACUUAGUCUUACAAUGGAGAAAUGAAAAUGAGCACCCUGAAGAAGGAGAAACACUUCUGGCUCUGCUGCUCUUUGUCUCACAUUGCCACUUACUUCAUCUUCAGGACUAAUCUGCAAAAUAUUACUUUUGACCAAGCAGAAGUAUCACAGGAACAAUUAAAUAUCUUGUGGAGGAGAAAGUACUGUACUCUUUACCACCCCUUGCUAAAAGCCAAUAAGCAAACCAUCAAGUCCUUAACCCAGCAUGGGGUAACACUGGAAAUGGUAAAUGCUGUGACACAGCCUACUGUGCUGUAUCAUAAGGAAAAAGAUAAAUGAAAAUAUGUAUUAUAUGUCUUGGGACAAUAUUAGUAGAUAUGCUUGUGACCUUUAAGUAUAUGUAAGACUGUUGCAAAGAGAAAAGCAAUUAAUUGUUCUGAGUUCAAUUACAACAAGAAAAUAUUUAGAAAGACAUUAAUAAAACUUUCUAGGCACUGUUAAAAUCA
ensembl:lncRNA